CCCUCGAUAGCUCAGUUGGAAGAGCGUGAGACUGUAAUGGUUACGUAAGCAAACAUCUCAAGGUCGCUGGUUCGAUCCCGGCUCGAGGGA